UGAACUUCAAGUUCCUGGGUGUCAGCAUCUUUGAAGAUCUAUUCUGGGUGCAACUUACUGAUACAAUCAUGAAGAAGGCACGCCAGCAACUAGAUUUCAUUAGGAGUUUGAGGAGAUUUGGAAGUUCUGCGUCCCUUCCCUUCGGAUGGAGCAGAUGAGAGAGUCCAGGCCCUUGGGGUUCUCUGUGAGGUGGUCCAGAAGCUUUCCUGCCUUUCGCCUGCUUGAUACCUGGAGCAAACAAACUCUACUGGCGUAGUAGAAAAUCAGAGGGAAAGUUUCAUUCUCAAGCUGGUCCAGUGUGGCGAUUUGUGAAGAGGAGGAUUCUAGGCCUGGGCCUAUGGACAAUUCUGAUAAGAUUCCAAGAUGGUGGCGCAACACAGCUUGCAGCGGCCACUCCGGAACUGAUUAUCUGUUAUUUGUGAAGUGCCGUGCGCAAUCAUAAUCAAUUGAAAACGGACAUGGGAGCACGGAGGAACAUCGGGAAAUCUCCAGGAAGACCUUCCUCAUUGCUGCUGCUGCUGUGAGGUCUGGGACUCUGCUGGGAAGAACAGGCCCCCAGUCCUCGGGGUCGCAUUGCCAGUGGCCGUUGGCAGGGCCGUCUUAAUACGCUUGGCAGAGAAUGGUGCUCGGAGAAGCUGUACUGGAGGGGAUGGUCAUCGGCUCGGAGGUUCGACGGACUCAGAGUCCACUGCAGUCAGGUCACUUUCACUGUGUGCUGCGUCUGUGAGGCUGAGUCGGGCGGCGCCUUGGAAGUCCAUAGCGGGGGUAUUCCCUUCUGCCGGCGGCGUGGGAUGGGACGUCCCUCUAUUCUGAGGCUGUGUCCUCUGCUCCAGACUCCUCCACAUGGAUACAUCCUCUAUGAAGAUAUUUCAACAUUCGAUAGGUUUUAAUGACGCCUGUGGACAAAUCCGUUCAAUGAGAACUCUGGUGAAAUGAAGCCUGACAAAAGGUUACUGACCUGAAACAUUCACCCAGUUCCUCUCUCAGGUAACAUCUGCUCAGUAAUUUUGUCUUGUACUCAACAUAAUAUAUGCAGCUUCCACAGAUUCACUGCUCUCUGGCCAAAGAAUAGGGGAAUCAUGGUUGGGGAAAAGGGGAAGGGAGAAGGAAGCGAGUGGGAAGCACCAGAGAGACAUCCUGUAAUGAUCAAUAACCCAGUUGUUUGGAGUCAAAUGACCUUACCUGGUGUCUCGGAGCUGGGUGUGUCUGCACCCGCUCCACCCCCUGCCCCGAGCACUCCUUCUCUGCCACCUGUCCCACACCCCUCCCAUGGUGCUCCACCCCGGCCAUUCCCAACAUCCUUUGCUCAUGCCAGAUUUACAGACUUGCUCUCUGCUCCACGUUGACAAAUACAGUACUGUGCAAAAGCCUUAGGCACACUGGCUGUAUUUAUGUAGCUAAGACUUCUGCACAGUACUGCAGGUUUGAGGUGAGCUUGAGAAGGAGACCUGAGGGACAAGGUUUUCACACAGAGGGGAGUGGGUUUAUACAGUGAGCUGCUAGAGGGAGAUGAGGAGAUCGGUACAGCUACAGUGUCUGGGGGAGGUUUGGACAGGUUCAUGGGACACGUGCAGAGAAACAGGACUACCUCGAAUAGACAUCAUAGUCAGUGUGGACGAGUUAGGCCAAAGGGCGUGUUUCUGUGCGAUACAACUCUAAAGAAAGUUCAAAGUGAAUUUUUUAUCAAACUGUGUAGUCUAUGGUAACAUAUUUCACCAUAUACCAACUACCCUGAAAUUCAUUUUCUUGCAGGCAUUUACAGGAAAAUAAAGAAAUACAACAGAGUUUAUGAAAAAAUCUAUAAAGACUGACAAACAACCAAUAUGCAAAAGAAGACAAAGUGCGCAAAUCAGGAGUAAAUAAUACUGAGAACAUGAGUUAUAAAGAGUCCUCGAGACACAACCAUUGGGAAGGCUGAGCCAACUCCCAAGGAUUUAAAAACAGAUAACUCUCCUGGCUCCCUUGCCUCCGAAGAUGAAAGAUGAUCUUCAUUUGCCACAGGUACAUUGAAACAUCAAGACAAACAGUGAAAAGCAUCGCUAACGUGAACAACUGACAGAGACUGAGAAUGUGGUGAGGGUAGCCCACAAAAGUGGCCAUUUCCCAGCAUCAACACUGCAUGCCCACAGGACGCCUGACCUGUACACCUUUGGAAUGUGGGAGGAAACCACAGCACCAGGAGGAAACCCACACAGUCACAGGAAGAGAGAACAACUCAUUCCAGACAAUGGCAGGAGUUGAACCCAUGCCAUUGGCUCUGUAAAGCAUUAUGCUCAUGCCUCUCUAAGCAAACAGCCCAUGAACGCUGCCACGAUAUUCUUGUUGUGCACUGUUAUCUAUUCCUUUAUGUAACCUCCAGUGAUAUUUUAUAUAUCCCAUUGCACUGCUGCCACAAAACAACAAAUUUUAUAACAUAAACAUGUGAUAAUUAACCAGAUUCUCAUCUUUUAGUCCUGAUGAAAGAUUUCGACCAGAAAUGUCAACUGUCCAUCCCCCUCAACACCCAGUUACCCUUGAUUUAACCCAAGCCUAACCACAGGACAAUUUCCAAUGACCAAUUAAUCUACGGACCGGUCUGUCUAUGGUCUGUGGGCAGAAACCAGAGCAACCGGGGGAAACCCACACAUUCCACAGGGAGAACGUACAGAUUUCUUACAGAUGACAUCAGAAUUGAACCCCGAACCCCAGUGCCCCAGGCUGUAAUAACAUUACACUAACCCAUAACAGUGUAGCAGUUGAGGUUCUAAACUAUUAAGGGCAUCAAUAGUUACGGGCAGAAGGCAGGAGAAUGUGGUUGAGACAGAUAAUAAAUCAGACAUGGUGGAAUGGUGGAACAGACCCGAUGGACUGAAUGGCCUGAUUUGGCUCCUAUCUCCCUCCAUGGAGUCAAUUAGUCCUGCUGAGUUGCUGCAGCACCUUGCUGACACUGAAACCAUUAUGGCCUUUCCAACUAAUUGGAACUGAAAUUCCACAUCACCAGAUUCAGGAACAGCUACAUCCCUUCGCCAUCCAGUUCCGAUCACUUAGAUGAUAUAGUUUUAAAGAUUAGCUUGUUCUGUCGUAUGUACAGUAAAAUGGACUGUUGGCGUUAACGAAAAAGACCACCUCAGGGUGAGCUGGGAGCAAGCGUCGUCAUGCCUCUGGUGCCUAACCCGUACACCUUCGGACUGUGGGAGGAAACCGGAGCACCUGGAGCAAACACGUGCAGUUACAGGGAGAACCUGCAAACUCCUUAUGGACAGCAGCAGAAUUGAAGCGGGUCACUGCCACUGUCAUAGCAUUACGCUUACUGCUAUGUUGCCAAAAAUUUUAGUGCACUUUGCACUGAAAUAGAUGUUUUUUAAAAAUUCUAAUUGCGUUCUUCUGCUAUGGCGGGCUGGAGAUAUACCUCCUUCCCUCUGCUAGCCUGCACUACACCCUGGACAAGGUGUAGCAUCUGCUUAGACCCCCCCCCCCCGCACCAAUCAGGGUCAUGUGAAACCAUGGGGGCAGGUGGUGGAUGGUCGUAUGAGCAGCUGGUGUGUAUCACAAGUCCUGGUUAUGCAACCACUCACACCAGACAGACCAUCUCUGACGAGUAUUGAUAAUGGCUGGGGUCACCCAAGUCACUGCCCAGAGGCGGCAAUGGAAAAACAAUUCUGCAGAAAAAUUUGCAAAGAACAAUCAUGGUCAUGCAAAGACCAAGAUUGCCCACAUCGUACAACUCAGCACGUAAUGAUGAGGAUGAAUUGCGUCUUUGUUGUAAAAUUGUAUUUCUUAGAUGUUUUCCAUAUGAAUGUUGUCUAUCUGACAAUCUGUGUCUGUGAUGUGAGUUUUCCAUUGCGCCUGCAUGUUCUUGUGCAGAUGACAAUAAAGGUCCACAGAAUGACUAUGAAUCUAUGUCCUUCACUUGCUCCUUACUCGUGUUCUCAGUAUUUUUUAUUUAUUGUUUGUUUUUUUAAUAUAUAUCUGCAGUUUAACUUCUUUUGCACAUUGGUUGUUUGUCAGUUUUAGUUUGACCUUAAGACAUAGGAGCAGAAGUAGGCCAUUCAGCCCCAUCGUGUCUGUUCUGCCAUCCAAUCAUGGCUGAUCUCAGCUGAAACCUUCUUGCCAAAUCCUUUGAUGUUCUGACCAAUCAAAAAACUAUCAACUUCUGCCUUAAAAAUACCCACAGACCUGGCCUCCACCGCAGUCUGUGGCAGAGCAUUCCAGAUUCACUACUCACUGGCUCUGCUACCUUCUCAUCACAGGACCAUAAGACAUGGGAGCAGAAUUAGGCCAUUUGGCCCAUCGAGACUGAUCUGCCAUUCAAUCGUGGCUGAUCCUUUUCUCCCCUCCUCAGCCCCACUCCCCAGCCUUCUCCCCAAAACCUUUCAAUCUUUGCCUUAAAUACACCUAACGACCUGCAUGUGGUAACAAAUUUCACAAUUUCAUCACCCUCUGACUAAAGAAAUUUCUCCGCAUCUCUGUUUUAAAUGGACACCCCUCUAUCCUGAGACUGUGCCCUCCUGUCCUAGACUCCCCCACAAAGGGAAACAUUCUUUCCACAUCUACUCUGUCUAGGCCUUUCAACAUUCAAAAGGUUUCAAUGAGAAUCCCCCCUGAUCCUUCUGAAUUCCAGUGAGUACAAGCCCAGAGCCAUCAAACGUUCUUGUAUGAUAACCCUUUCAUUGUGGUAGCAUGCUUGUGAACCUCUUCUGAAUGCUCUCCAAUUUACAGGGAGUAUACAACAGUGAUAUUUAUUGUUCGAUAUGGGAUUGUACAACACUGUCAUUUAGAGUUCGAUAUACGGAUCAAUCCACUCUUAUUUAUUUUUGAUAUUUGGGGAGAAUACACCUGUAAUUUACUGUUGGAUAUGCUGUUGCAGAAAGUAGAGACGCUGCUGGGCUUUCUUUGCAAUGGAGCUGGUGUUGAGGGACCAGGUGAGAUUCUCCGUCAGCUGAACACCAAGAAAUUUGGUGCUCUCAAUGGAGGAACCGUCAAUGUUCAGCGGAGAGUGGUUGUUCCGUGCCCUCCUGAAGUCAACAACCAUCUCUUCUGUUUUGUUCACAUUAAGAGACAGGUUGUUGGCUCUGCACCAGUCCGUUAGCCGCUGCAACUCCUCUCUGUAAGCUGACUCGUCGUUCUAGCUGAUGAGAUCCACCAUGGUCGUGUCAUCGGCGAACUUGAUGAUGUGG